rnacentral:snRNA from 1 species
ACAGUGACCUGGCAGGGGAGACUCCGUGAUCACCAAGGUGGCUCUCCCAGGACCAGGCUCGUCCACUGCACUCGGACCACGCCAACCCCUGUGGCUUCCCCACCUGUGGGAAACUCCACCGUGCAAUUUCUGCUAGUGGGGGACGCCAUUCUUG